rnacentral:rRNA from 1 species
UACGUAGGGGGCAAGCGUUGUCCGGAUUUAUUGGGCGUAAAGAGCGUGUAGGCGGUUAGGUAGGUCCGUUGUGAAAACUCGAGGCUCAACCUCGAGACGCCGAUGGAAACCAUCUAGCUAGAGUCCGGAAGAGGAGAGUGGAAUUCCUGGUGUAGCGGUGAAAUGCGCAGAUAUCAGGAAGAACACCAAUGGCGAAGGCAGCUCUCUGGGACGGUACUGACGCUGAGACGCGAAAGCGUGGGGAGCGAACAGG